UACGGAGGGUGCAAGCGUUAAUCGGAAUUACUGGGCGUAAAGCGUACGCAGGCGGUUUAAUAAGUGAGAUGUGAAAGCCCCGGGCUCAACCUGGGAACUGCAUUUGGAACUGGUCAACUAGAGUAUGAUAGAGGGUGGUAGAAUUUCAGGUGUAGCGGUGAAAUGCGUAGAGAUCUGAAGGAAUACCGAUGGCGAAGGCAGCCACCUGGGUCAACACUGACGCUCAUGUACGAAAGCGUGGGGAGCAAACAGG
rnacentral:rRNA from 1 species